AACCGGGAACUCAAAGGAGACUGCCGGUGAUAAACCGGAGGAAGGUGGGGAUGACGUCAAGUCAUCAUGGCCCUUCAGAGCAUAGGGCUACACACGUGCUACAAUGGCGUAUACAAAGGGAAGACACGACCCUGCGAAGGCAAGCGGAACUCAUAAAGUACGUCGUAGUCCGGAUUGGAGUCUGCAACUCCCGAAGACUCCAUGAAGUCGGAGCAUCGCUAGUAAUCGUAGAUCAGAAUGCUACGGUGAAUACGUU
rnacentral:rRNA from 1 species